GAUCUUAUAGUUAAGGAAUAAUUUUAGACUGGACAUUAGACUGCAAUUCUAAAGGAGUAGGUACUACUAAGGCUU
rnacentral:tRNA from 1 species